rnacentral:lncRNA from 1 species
GAGAAUUUUAAGACUGAGUUUUCUGAAUUGGUUCUGGUUCUGGUAUUUCUAGAAUUGGCUCUCUAAUCUUAUUAGAGUUAGAGAUUCUAGUGAUUCUAUUCUGUUUUCCAGUGGUAAAGAAGCACUGGCAGUCCAUGGCAUGGUUUGGAAAUAAAGACAUGCAAAAUGUCUCCACCGGAUCCUCCUAGUGAAGCACUGAUAAGAAGCAAGGAUCUGGUCUGUACUACGUUGUAAUCAGAAAACACGUUCAGCUGAGAAGCAAGGAUUGGCAACAGCAUCAUCGGUUUGAGGCUGCAUACACGGACGGAGCUGGUUGGCCUGGUCUGGGCUGGGAGCAGCUGGAGAACAGCUUCCAGUGGUCAGCUGGGCAGCUCCCCCUCGGCUAGAGGAUGACCCAUCUUACGCCUAUGGAGAACACUGCGGAAAUCACAGCAGGGGAGGUUUAAGCCCUCUGGGCCUCCCUCGUCGGGCACAAAGGAGACAGCUGACCUGACCACGUACCCCCGUAGCAGCCGGAGCUACUGCCUGUCCGUCUGACCCAGCCCGGGCCCCGGUGGUUGGACUUGGCCACUGCUCUCCUCGCACCUGCGUCUGGUUUUGUUUACUCAUUUGUGUAAACAGCACACAGCUCUGUGCGUGCUGGGAUUUCUACAUCCGUGUGUCUUAGGAAGGUUUGGUUUCCCAGGAAACAAGGGUCUGAGUGAAGGUGGUUACUGUGGGAGGUGGUCCCGGGGUGUGAGCCGGGGAUGGGCAGGGAGGAGGGGUGUCAUGAGUUGCCCACGUGGCGGCUCUGUGGGACUCUGGGCACCAGAACACAGCAUGCACCGUGGGCUUCCUCCCACUAGCAGGCCUGGCUCCCA